UAACACUAGUUAUCAUUGUGGUGGUCUGCUCGAUAAUUUCACCCAUCAUUCUCGUGUCAAUUAUCUGUGUAUCUAUCCGUACAUACAGAAUGAAAAGGAAGUUGACACAUUCUAACUUGAAACACGGAUUUUCUUCUGCUUGGUUUGGUAAUAUAACACGGCAACACCAUUCCAUUGGCAUUUAUGGAAACCAUAUGAGUGGUCGAACGCGUACAUCAGACAGAUAUUUCCCAAGUCGUGAAGGGUCAAGCUGUUCUACAGAUUACAGCUGUUAGACAAUCAACAUAACAUUUCAAGAAUGCCGAAGGAAGUUGAAACUACCGACAUGACAGAGAAUAUUUCUAAUUUUGAUCAGUACUGCAACAUUGUCUUUUUGCAAAAAAAAAGAGAGAACACUUCUGUUUCUGACAUCUAAAUGGGUGCUUGGGUGGAAGCGAAAAUCCUACAUACCAAAAUAAGUAAAAAUAUCAAAAGCAUCUAGAACCUUAAGAAACAAACUAUUUAUCAAUGACCAAUUAAUCGAUACUCUUAACGGAAGUUUCUUAAUAGAGCUAACAUUGUGCGUUAUAAACAAUAUUCGUUUUAAAAUGAUUAUUUGGUAAUAGUUUGUGGAAGGCAUGCAAUAUAAAAUUACAUUAGCUUUCAAAUUUCAAGUUUAAGACAUAAAUAUGCACAAUUCAUGAUGAACAACGAAAAUAAAAUGCAUACAUAAAUAUUAAUGCACAUGUAAAUCUACUUUACAUUUUGCGAAGGUUACACACACAUAUGUUCUAACGGUAUGUACUUGUACUUAUAUUUUACAUUAUCACCUACUAAUUAUUAUAAACAGAAAAAUUGUCCAGUCUUACAUAGUUAUAGGUUAUUAGCUUUGUAUCUGGAAAAUUAAUAUGCACGUGUUCUUCAGCGGAAAUAUUUUGCGACUUUAGGAACGCAAUAUUUUUUCCGCUAUUUCCCGAUGCAAAGAUAAUAACCUUUUUAUUACAUACGUUUCUACAUAUAUGUAAUGUAAAUAUUACGAUUUUUUUUCAAUAGCCUGAAUAAGAUUGACAAUACUGACCUUAACAAAAUUAUUAAUGCAAACGGCACAUAUUAAAUUACGUCACGCGCCCGAUAUGAAAUUCAGGCGUCAGUGUAUGGAAAAAUAUUGACGAUUCCGGUACCAUUGUAACUUAACGGGAAAUAAUAAGGAGUAUGUAAUAAUAAGGUAUAUUCCAGUCUUACGUUAAUCAUUAACGGAACGAAACAACAUGAUCAACAAAUUGGCCAAUCGGCUUUUUAAUCCAAUUGUUAACUGCAUCAGGCCUCAAGCCUUAACACCAAUUUUCAGAUCAUCUUGAAGGAUAUGUGUAUACCCAUCUCCAACCGUUUUGCAAAGAAUGGCUUACAAAUCGUCAGUAGCAACAUCGGCUUGAUAAGAUACACCGGUACAAUUAGCUAUUCAUAUUAAUUAAUAUAUGAGUAUAUCUUUGAACGUAUAUAUCUCUAUUUCAUAAGCAUUCGCAUUUAUAAUAAUCUAACAGUAAGUGCUCGAUGGCCACGCUUGGUAUGUCGAAAAACAUUUUUGAACAUGUGCCAUAUGAAAUAAAAAUAAUCCUUAGAAACAAACAUUAUUAUCUGAAAAAAAAGAAGCAGCUUACCAGUUAGUCAAAACCGCAUAAGCAUAUAAACCGGUGUACAUUUGUUAUCAAAACAGUUUCAUUCAUGUUUCUACUCCACUCCACGUUUUGUGUGUUUUUGAUUAUUAAGAUGUUUUGUACAUAUUACACUUUAUGUAUACGUAGAAUAUCAUCAAUCAUAUUUGUAUCAAUUAGGUUGAAAUAUUUUGAGGUUAUUAAUUACUCAAAUGGAAUUUUGAAAUAUCAUACAGGAAACUGAACAAUGCUAUGAGUUUAGAAUAUACAGUGCUCUCUCUCUACAACAACUUCUUUUGAAGACGGAAAAUUUGGUUGUUGUUCGGAGAGAGUUGUUGUAGAGAGGUAAAAUAAAGAACAAUAAGCAUAUUUUGGAGUCAGUAGCAAGUGUUGUUGCAAGGAGGGAAUUGUUGUUCAAAGAAGAGGGCCGCUGUAAAAAGGAAGCACUGUACAUUUAAUAUGCUAAAUACCGUGCAGAUCGUUAUGCCAUGUCAUGCGGCCAUUACUUGCUCUUCCUUUUCUCUUAAGAAGGGACAUAUUCGACGAAUCCAAACUCAUAGCUACCGCCGUAGUUACCAUAAAUUGAUUAUUCUACUAAGAAAUAUAAGUACAUAUUCUAAAAGUAGUACCUUUACAGGUUUGAAUUUAUUUAAUAAAGGAUUAAGUUUUAAUUAUUGGUACAUGAUUUCAUUACAUACAGCAAAAGCACGGUUUUCAUAUGCUGAGUGAUUUUCAUAAUUUAACAAUUUUAUGAUUUUGUACAUUAUUGGCCGUAUACAGUAUUUUGAUUGGAUAUACAGCAGUGUUUGCUCAGACCAUUAUUCAUUGUACAUUCCAAAAUCAAAAUGAAACUCUUCCUGUACAUUUUAACAUGACAUAGUAAUGCAUUUACUAGAAUAUUUACAGAUCUACAUGUAGCCAAGCGACUGGAAUCUAUCUACAGUCUAUAAGAGAAAAAAUCUCGACGAGUGACUGACAAAAGUUGUUUAUUGAAAAGUGUCUUAAGUUUAUGUGAAAUAAAAGCAAGACUAUUAAUCUAUAUAAAAGUGCUCAUGUAGAAUUUUCUAAUAUAUCAUAAUGCCAGUUUUGUGCAAACUGAUCGAUUAUUUUUUGCUUAACCUUGCAUAAAGGUAGGUCAAUAUUACCUACAUUUUGAUGUUAUCAGUGGUCAUUAAAGCUUAAGGAACAUAUCAAAAUCUUCAAAAGUAACUCCAGAUUACAUUAUUUUUUUAAGUCUUAUUUAAUACACAAAUGUUAUCUUUCGUACUAAUGUUUGGUCCAAAACCGGCCUUUGAUAUACACGUAGGCAGUUUACAAAUACAACUGAAAACAUGUAGUUCCAUGAUAA